rnacentral:pre_miRNA from 1 species
ACAUUACUCCCUUUGUCCCAAAAUUCUUGUCUUACAUUGUCUAGAUACGGAUGUAUCUUCUGUAUCUAGACAAAUGUAGGACAAGAAUUUUGGGGCGGAGGGAGUAGAUU